GCCAGCCUGGUGCCUGGAGUGCGCACUGCUUGCCGAGCAGUGCGAGGAAGAUCUUUGCCUUUUGCUCGCC
rnacentral:tRNA from 1 species